rnacentral:rRNA from 1 species
CCUACGGGUGGCAGCAGUGGGGGAUAUUGCACAAUGGGGGAAACCCUGAUGCAGCGACGCCGCGUGUGGGAAGACGGUCUUCUGGAUUGUAAACCACUGUCCCCAGGGACGAAAAUGACGGUACCUGGGGAGGAAGCUCCGGCUAACUACGUGACAGCAGCCGCGGUAAUACGUAGGGAGCAAGCGUUGUCCGGAAGUACUGGGUGUAAAGGGAGCGUAGGCGGGGAUGCAAGUUGGGGGUCAAAACUACCGGCUCAACCGAUAGUCGCACUCAAAACUGCAACUCUUGAGUGAAGUAGAGGCAGGCGGAAUGCCUAGUGUAGCGGUGAAAUGCGUAGAUAUUAGGAGGAACACCAGUUGCGAAGGCGGCCUGCUGGGCUUUUACUGACGCUGAGGCUCGAAAGUGUGGGGAGCAAACAGGAUUAGAUACCCCUGUAGUC